UACGUAGGGGGCAAGCGUUGUCCGGAUUUAUUGGGCGUAAAGAGCUCGUAGGCGGUCUGUCGCGUCGGAUGUGAAAACCCAGGGCUCAACCCUGGGCCUGCAUUCGAUACGGGCAGACUAGAGUUCGGUAGGGGAGACUGGAAUUCCUGGUGUAGCGGUGAAAUGCGCAGAUAUCAGGAGGAACACCGGUGGCGAAGGCGGGUCUCUGGGCCGAAACUGACGCUGAGGAGCGAAAGCGUGGGGAGCAAACAGG
rnacentral:rRNA from 1 species